AAUAAGAACCAUAUGAAAAUCACGAGUAGCGAUGGAAAUGAUUAGAGAAA
rnacentral:guide_RNA from 1 species